GUAUUCGCGGGCCGCGGGGUCGCCGCCGGCCGCCCAGGCGCGGAGCCUCUCGGGGGUCACCCGGCCGCCGGGCCCGCGGGACGCACGGGGCCGCCAGGGGAGGACAACAAGCCUCAGGCCCUGUCCCUGCGCCCCGCCCGGCCUCCCCCGCGGGGCUGCGCAGCCCACUCGGCCAUCCUGGCCUGAAGGGGCCGCCCCCGGCCUCGCGGGAAAGCCUGAGCCUCCCGGGCCUUCUCGGGCCUUCUCGGACUUUCCCCCAGGCGUCCUGGACCUUCUUCGGCCUUCCUGGGCCUCCUCGGGCUUCCUUGACCCUCCCCAGGCCUUCCCCGAGGCCUCCAGGCCCUUCCCUGGGCCUCUCCAGGCUGAGCUCUCCGCGACAUGGCCAGUGGGCCUCUGGGACCCGGGGCCCGGCCCACCCGCCUCCACCCUCCAUUCCCACCGCCUGCUCACAUCAAGCCAGGAGCACCGCCCGGAUGAACACGCAGGGUUCCGGACCAAUACCUGGGCCAUUGUGACUCUCAGAAUGCCAGGCAAUAAGAGAUCAGAAAGCUGGUUCCACUUCAUCUUGGAGAUGGAGGAAAGCUUGCCAGAACAACUGCACACCCCAUCCACUCCUCAUGUUCUCAGUUUGUUCUUCUCUGUGAUACAACCAGCAUCACGAGAACAGCCAGCAGCAGCUCCAGCGUGAUAAAAUUUUCACUCCUUGACAAGUGUAAGAAGCCGGAAAACUGUGCCCAGCCAGAAGUUUUGUGUCGCCCCUUUGAGAUGCUGUCUAACCUCCACGAGCUGCUUCCGAAUCACCUGAUGGAGACGCUUUAUUCCCGCAAGAGUGAAGAGGACAAGAAAAAAUGUGAGAAUCCUGAACUCUCUGGCUUAGAAAGAAUCUUAGCAAGACAUCAGUUGCCAAAAGAGAUUAAUCUGACCCCAAAGCCGAACAGAAUGCCCCCGUGGAAAAGAAAAAUCAUCAACAAUGUAACUGACGGGUGGAAGAAAUGUCACUUGUUGAAGAGAAACACGAAAGAGCCUCCAAUGUCCACCAUAGUUGUCAGAAAACUUAUUCAAAAAAAUGUACCCAGAAGACACAGCCUAAGGAAUACAAGCAGGAAACUGAGAAACCUGCCAACAACAGCUAAAGGGACACAAACAGGAAAAUCACAGUGCCUUCUGGGUAUAUCAGAACCUACCUGAAAUUCACAAACUCUAAACAAUGAAUGCUCAACUCUGUUGUAUGAAGUAGCCACAAUUACCAACCUUCCUGCACAAAUCAAACAAGAGAUAUCUUAAAAUAGGAAUGAUGCUGAAACUCUACAGCUUUUGUGUGAAACACAUAGAAGAAGAAAGUAAAACAGGACAAACUCCGUGGGCAGGCUCCACCUGACUAGAGGAUUCCAAUGAAGGACUCAAACUGGACACCAAAUCCACAUAGUUCUGCCUGGCAGCUUCCUGAACGGACGAUGACAAACAACCUCAGCCCAUGGUCAAUGAAUAAGCACUUUGAGAAAGUUACUAUACUAAUAACUAACACCUUGCAAUGAAGAAAGAAUAGAAGCACAUCAAGAUCUUGAAGACUCCAUUUACAAUGGCUUAAUGAGAAGCACAAACUUCUUUAGAAGUACAGCAAAUAAAAGCACAGUAACUAGUAAACUCACCUUGGGCAGGCUGCCAAGGGCAUUCCAUGCGUCCCAUUUGGCCUUGUUGAUCAAGUCAAAUACACCUGGUUUGGGCAUGUUACAAGGUCCUUCAGUGGCCUGUGAAAAGGAGAGGGGCAAUAUGUUCAAAUGUCCAUGUAAACUAGACCCCUAAAUAUUUAAGAUCCAUAAAAUCUGUAAGUACA
ensembl:lncRNA TEX56P testis expressed 56, pseudogene